UACGGAGGGGGCAAGCGUUAUUCGGAUUUACUGGGCGUAAAGCGCACGUAGGCGGCAAUGCAAGUCGCAGGUGAAAGCCCUCGGCUCAACCGAGGAACUGCCUGCGAAACUGCAUUGCUUGAGUCCGGGAGGGGGGAGCGGAAUUCCCAGUGUAGCGGUGAAAUGCGUAGAUACUGGGAGGAACACCGGUGGCGAAGGCGGCUCCCUGGACCGGUACUGACGCUGAGGUGCGAAAGCGUGGGUAGCAAACAGG
rnacentral:rRNA from 1 species